AGUGAACGCUGGCGGUAGGCCUAACACAUGCAAGUCGAACGGCCGCACAGUAAGAGCGUGCUCUUACGGGUGGCGGGUGGCGGACGGGUGAGGAAUACAUCGGACUCUACUUUUACGUGGGGGAUAACGACGGGCAACUUACGCUAAUACCUCAUACGUCCAACGGGUGAAAGCAGGGGAUCUUGGGACCUUCCCCGAUUCAAUGAGCCGGUGCCGGUUUAGCUAGUUGGAGGGGUAAAGGCCCACCAAGGCGACGAUCCCUAGCUGGUCUGACAGGAUGAUCAGCCACACUGGAACUGAGCAACGGCCCAGACUCCUACGGGAGUGAGCAGUGAGGAACAUUGGCCAAUGGGCGCAAGCCUGAUCCAGCCAUACCGCGUGCGUGAAGAAGGCCUUCGGGUUGUAACGCACUCUUGUUGGGAAAGAACAGCAGCAGCCUAAUAUCCCCCUGUUCUGACGGUACCCAAAGAAUAAGCAGCGGCUAACUUCGUG
rnacentral:rRNA from 1 species